UUGAUGGCCCUGGAGACUGAAAUCCUGUUUAAUCACAGGGUAGGUACAGCGCAGCAGCAAAGCAAGUUUCCACACACUGCCCUGGUAUUGUCUUGAGCCUGAGAGACUACCUCCUGUAGAUGAGAGGAGUUCUCCUCCAAAGCCCGUUCUGUCCUUGGCCUUA
ensembl:misc_RNA